GGGUGAGUAACACGUAAAGAACCUGCCUCAUAGACUGGGACAACUAUUGGAAACGAUAGCUAAUACCGGAUAACAGUAUUUCUCGCAUGAGAGAUAUUUAAAAGUUGGUUAUGCUAACACUAUGAGAUGGCUUUGCGGUGCAUUAGCUAGUUGGUGGGGUAAAGGCCCACCAAGGCGACGAUGCAUAGCCGACCUGAGAGGGUGAUCGGCCACACUGGGACUGAGACACGGCCCAGACUCCUACGGGAGGCAGCAGUAGGGAAUCUUCCGCAAUGGGCGAAAGCCUGACGGAGCAACGCCGCGUGGGUGAAGAAGGAUUUCGGUUCGUAAAGCUCUGUUGUUAGGGAAGAAUGGAUAUGUAGUAACUAUACAUGUAAGAGACGGUACCUAACCAGAAAGCCACGGCUAACUACGUGCCAGCAGCCGCGGUAAUACGUAGGUGGCGAGCGUUGUCCGGAAUUAUUGGGCGUAAAGCGCGCGCAGGUGGUUUAAUAAGUCUGAUGUGAAAGCCCACGGCUCAACCGUGGAGGGUCAUUGGAAACUGUUAAACUUGAGUGCAGGAGAGAAAAGUGGAAUUCCUAGUGUAGCGGUGAAAUGCGUAGAGAUUAGGAGGAACACCAGUGGCGAAGGCGGCUUUUUGGCCUGUAGCUGACA
rnacentral:rRNA from 1 species